rnacentral:rRNA from 1 species
AUUGGACGCUGGCGGCGUGCUUAACACAUGCAAGUCGAUCGGUAACGCGGGGGCAACCCUGGCGACGAGAGGCGGACGGGUGAGGAACGCUUGGGAAUCUGCCUAUCAGCGGGGGACAACCCGGGGAAACUCGGGCUAAUACCGCAUACGCUCUACGGAGGAAAGCCGGGGACCGCAAGGCCUGGCACUGAUAGAUGAGCCCAAGUCGGAUUAGCUAGUUGGCGGGGUAACGGCCCACCAAGGCGACGAUCCGUAGCUGGUCUGAGAGGACGAGCAGCCACACUGGGGAUGAGACACGGCCCAGACUCCUACGGGAGGCAGCAGUGGGGAAUAUUGGACAAUGGGGGAAACCCUGAUCCAGCGACGCCGCGUGGGUGAAGAAGGCCUGCGGGUUGUAAAGCCCUUUCGGUAGGGACGAAAGCUCUCGACCUAACACGUCGGGAGGUUGACUUAACCUACAAAAGAAGCACCGGCUAACUCUGUGCCAGCCGCCGCGGUAAAAC